rnacentral:rRNA from 1 species
CAGCCGCCGCGGUAAUACGUAGGGUGCAAGCGUUAAUCGGAAUUACUGGGCGUAAAGCGUGCGCAGGCGGUUAUAUAAGACAGAUGUGAAAUCACCGGGCUCAACCUGGGAACUGCAUUUGUGACUGUAUAGCUAGAGUACGGCAGAGGGGGAUGGAAUUCCGCGUGUAGCAGUGAAAUGCGUAGAUAUGCGGAGGAACACCGAUGGCGAAGGCAAUCCCCUGGGCCUGUACUGACGCUCAUGCACGAAAGCGUGGGGAGCAAACAGGAUUAGAUACCCGCGUAGUCCCUGUCUCUUAUAU